rnacentral:lncRNA from 1 species
CUAUCUCCUGCUCCCUGUCCUGCACUGCAAAGGAGGCCUUUUCAUCCUCUCUACUGCCUCCAAUUUUUCUCACGAGGAAUGUGAGAGGAAAACCUGGCCACUGCGUGUCAUGGUGUGUCCGGAAUUGGUGGGUUCUUGGUCUCACUGACUUCACGAAUGAAGCCGCGGACCCUGGCAGUGACUGUUACAGCUCUUAAGAUGGCACAUCUGGAGUUUGUUCCUUCUGAUGUUCGGAUGUGUUUGGAGUUUCUUCCUUCUGGUUAGUUCGUGGUCUCGCUG